rnacentral:rRNA from 1 species
UACGUAGGUGGCAAGCGUUAUCCGGAUUUAUUGGGCGUAAAGGGAACGCAGGCGGUCUUUUAAGUCUGAUGUGAAAGCCUUCGGCUUAACCGGAGUAGUGCAUUGUAAACUGGGAGACUUGAGUGCAGAAGAGGAGAGUGGAACUCCAUGUGUAGCGGUGAAAUGCGUAGAUAUAUGGAAGAACACCAGUGGCGAAAGCGGCUCUCUGGUCUGUAACUGACGCUGAGGUUCGAAAGCGUGGGUAGCAAACAGG